rnacentral:rRNA from 1 species
ACGAACGCUUGCGGCGUGCCUAACCCAUGCAAGUCGAGCGGUAAGGCCCUUCGGGGUCUACGAGCGGCGAACGGGUGAGUAAUACGUGGGUGAUCUGCCCUGCACUUCGGGAUAAGCCUGGGAAACUGGGUCUAAUACCGGACAUGACCUCCUAUCGCAUGGUGGGUGGUGGAAAGAUUUAUCGGUGCAGGAUGGGCCCGCGGCCUAUCAGCUUGUUGGUGGGGUAAUGGCAUACCAAGGCGACGACGGGUAGCCGACCUGAGAGGGUGACCGGCCACACUGGGACUGAGACACGGCCGAGACUCCUACGGGGGGCAGCAGUGGGGAAUAUUGCACAAUGGGCGGAAGCCUGAUGCAGCGACGCCGCGUGGGGGAUGACGGCCUUCGGGUUGUAGACCUCUUUCAGCAGGGACGAAGCGCAAGUGACGGUACCUGCAGAAGAAGCACCGGCUAACUACGUG